rnacentral:lncRNA from 1 species
CAGCCGCCUAGAACCGCGGACUUGACCCCGCGCAUGCCCGGACUCUCCCAGCCUUAUAUAAUCUGACCGCUCUCGAUUAACCGUGUCGUGCGCCAUUGACGAGGAGAGAGAGAAGCGGGGACCACCAUUGAUGCAUCGUGAGCGCAGGAGAGAGAGAUGCAAGAAGAGAGAAAAUAGAGCUGGGCCACUGCGAGGGAGUCCUGGAUCACCAUCGAUCUGAGUCAAGCACGCGGCCAGAAAGAUCCCCGACGAGAAUAACUGAAUGUGAGGACCUGGGAUUUGUUCAUCAGCGAUUGCCGCUGCUGUGUGUCCGCCCCUCAUCGAGGCCUCCUCUAACCGUCGCUUAAUCACAGGUAAAAAGUCCCUAAAUGCAUUCGCGACACCUUAAUCUUCGUGUUCCCGUCGGUAAUUGGAUCUGCGUGAGCCUGCGUACUAGUUUGGUAUGUCGCCGUGGAGUGCCGCGCCGCCGGGUGUGUCGUGCGGGCCACUACUGCUGGGGGCUGAGAAGGAAGACGAUGGGAGAAACGUCGAUUUCUGGUGGAGGGCUCAGAUUGAACGCUGCGUACACCCCUUCGCUGGUUUGAUCUGAGCGGUUGGUUCCGAUCGGACGGACCUGGUGUGAUCACGGUUAUUUAAAAUAUAGGCCGUUGAUCUGGCCAGGGACGGAUACGAUUAGACUGGGCGCUUACCUCUUCGUUGGUUGAGUAUGUACUGUUGAUCUAUAAUCUAACGGUUGUGAUGCGCGCGGGGUUAGGCAGCCGAGCCAGCUUUACGUAAGAGCCCUCGAGAUUUAAGGUAAUAAACCCGCCGUCCAUUUUUUUAGUAUAAAGAAAGUAAAAUUAAAUGAAGACUUUGCGUUUUAGCCCAUGGGGUUUGUUUUUAGGCACAAAAUUGAUACAAAUAUGCACAAAAGCUAAGAAAAUCCAUAUCUUGCUCAUGUUAACUCCAUUUUAGUCCGUUUAAGUUGCGUUAGCUUCGUAAUAAAAUUAUCUACACUUUGGUAACCUUAUUUUAUCAUGAAACAUGUUUGUAAAUAAUUAAUUUGUUUACCCUAUGUUCAUUGGAUUAACUUCUUUAUUUAAAAUUAAAGUAAAAUUUUCGCUUCCUAGUUGUAAUUUGACUUAAAUAUGUUUUCUAAUCAAGUUAUAACUUGGGUUAAAAUUAAAUUAAUGGUUUCUUAGGAAUAUAUUUCUCACGUGAUUUAUAAUAAUCAACCUAGAACCUAGUUUUCCUGUUUAAUCACAUAAACCUUCGGAAAAUCAUAACUUUAUAACCGUAGCUCCUAAUUUAGCAAUUCUCGAGCCCGCGAUCUCAUAGCUUCGCGUAGAUUAUUAUUACACAGUUUAUUCUUAUAUUUGGUGUGAUGUUAAUUUUGUCUAUACCAUGUUUGUUUGUAUUGCUACGACUAGCGUGAGGUCACGAGUCACCUGAAGAUCAUCCUGGUACCUGGAAUCUCAAGUCCCAGGCAAGUUGUGCCCUUGAUCACUUCUUUUACCCACUCAUAUUCUAAUUAAUCAUAAUGAUCUGCAUAGGUUAAUUUGAUGGGACCUAAUAGGUUACCCUAGUUUGUCUAUCUUUAUGCCUUGUUUACCACUAAACUUUCUGGGUAGUACUUGCUAGUGCUAUAUGUGGAUUUGGGCAUUGAGAUACAUAUUAUUCAUACUUUUGUUAUCAGUUGCUAUUUACUGUUCAUGAUAAGAUCAUUCUGUUAAUUGGAACAUGGAGAACCACCCGGGAAAACAGUGCUACCACAAGGGUUUAAUGGGACGCCCUUGGCCGAUUAAUUAGGAAAGCUAGUGGAAGACUACCUUACCCGAAAGGGGCAAGGGCAGUAGGGGAGUGGUCAGUGUAGGGAGGCCCUCGGGAGGAUUUUGCUGCGAUGGCGGUCCUGCAAGGGAUUCCUGCAUUGGAGCUUCCUAUAAACUGUAGCGGGUUUUCUGAAGCUAGUGGAACUUUGUAAAGGCCUCGUAGUGUUACCCUGCCUCGCCUCCUCGAUAGAGGUGUAUGGGAAGUCGCGAUCCCUUGGCAGAUGGGUAACAUGACUUGUGGGUAAAGAUGCGCAACCUCUACAGAGUGUAAAACUGGUAUACUAGCCGUGCUCACGGUCAUGAGCAGCUCGGACACUCACAUGAUUAAAUUAUGAAACUUAAACUCAAUUUGUCAUAUGCAUUGCAUCGCAGGUGAGGUUGUUACUUUUGUUCUGCUACUUAAUUGGGUUGGUAUUUACUUAUACUUAGUAAUUGCUAAUAAAAUUUUGACCAACAUUAAAAGCAAUGCUCAGCUUCAACCAUCCUCUUUGGUAAGCCUUACACUUCACGUGAGCUCCCACCUUUGGCGAGUUCAUGCACAUUAUUCCCCACAACUUGUUGAGCUAUGAACGUAUGUGAGCUCACUCUUGCUGUCUCACACCCCCCCACAGGUCAAGAACAGGUACCGCAGGAUGAGGCACAUGGAGGAUGCUGUGAUGAGUUCGUGAGAGAGAUCUAGGCCGUCGUCUCCCAGUCAACUUUGGGUUGCUGGACCGUUGUCUCCUUUUGAUGUAAUUAUUUAUUGAUUUUGUAUAGAACUCUUGUUAUAUAGUAAAUAUGUGACAUUCGAUCCUGUGCCACUAUACAUCAUAUGUGUGAGACUUGGUCCCAGCACACCUGGUGUUUAUGUUCGCGCCCGGGUCUUGGUGCCCCGAAACCCGGGUGUGACAGAAGUGGUAUCAGAGGAAUGUUGACUGUAGGACGAAACCUAGAUAGAACCAGAUAACCAUUAUCUACUUACCUUUGCUACUCUGAUUCUUUUCUAAACUUUUCUUAAUCUUUUCUCAUCUAUUUCCGCUUUACUCUGAUUAUUCUUACCUUUUCCUUCUAAAGACAAAUGUGGAUUUCACACUUUGAAAUCCUGUGCCUAAAGUGACCUUUAGGAAUAGGAGACCUACUCUUAGGAACAAAAACAAAACUAUUUUUGUAGGUAUCUAUGUGCUUCAAUGUUUGUUCUUGUGAUACUUGUUUGAUUUGGAUCUUUGGUUGAGUGUGAGUAAUGUCCACGAUUACAUCUGCAUGUACAUAAUGCUUAUAAAACUAACUAGACAAAUUAGAUUAUUCCUCAUUAAUGUAGCUAGCCUAACAAUAUCUAUCUCAUCUUAAAAGAUUCUAUCCUACACUCAUAGAUCCAUCUCCUCUCAAAAGAUCCUAACUUAUCCUAAUCUAGCUUAAUAGAUUUACCUUAUCUUAAGAGAUACUCUAUUGUCUUAAUAGAAUCAUCCUAUCUUGAAAAAGAUUUCAUGUCAUCCUAAUAGAUCUAACUGACCUCAAAAGAUUCUACGUUAUCCUUAGGGACUUAUCUUGCCCUAAUUAGCGUAUUUAUCCCACUCUAGAAUAACCACCAUGAGCUAACCCAACCAAUAGAUUCUUGAUGGAUUGCAUAAUCUGUCUACCCUCACUUGACAACAAACAAGCUUUUGACCUACAUCAUGCACUCUAUCUCAUCCAUAACUAUCUUAACCACAUUUCCCCAACUCCAAUGAUAUACACUGACCUCGAAUCAAUGAGACCAAGACCAGAAAAGGACAAGAUCAACCUCGUCAAGAAAGGAGAGAAGUCAAACUUGAUCUUUAGAUGCAUUACCAUCCAACACGGAGUUCUUCUCACCAUAAACUGUCUUACCCUAGGCUAUUCUUGCCCUAACCUUCCUAUCUUUUAUCUUACAUAAUAAUGUGGUUAUACUCAUGCAUACCCAUGCUCUCCUAAUCACCCACCAAUGAUUACGAAAGAAAAUACCCUUCAUUCUUGAUCUAAUUAAAAAUUAAAAGCUAAAAUCACAAACCAAUUCUUUUGUAUCCCUUCUUCUAACAAAUCUCAAGGACGAGAUUUUUGUUAAGGGGGGUAGAAUUUGUAACACCUCAAAAUAAUGUUUUUGUGAACCGAGAAGCUCUUCAAAAUAUUUGGAUUGAAAUGUCUUUUAAACAAGAAUUGUAUUAUCUUUGGAAUCAUUUUCUUAAAAGAAAUAAAUGAUAAUAUUAUAUUAUUCAAAGCUAGAUUAGAUCUAGAAUACUAGAAUUUGACUUCAAAAUUCAUAAAAUAAACAAACAUGAAGAUUUUCAUUUAUUUAUAUGAGUGAAUUGUUUUUUGGAUUAUGUAUUCGCAUCUAUUCAAAAAAUGGAUAAAAUAAUUACUAUAAUUUUUUUAUUACAUCCCAUGCUAAGAUUUUUGUCGAAGCAUCUAAAUUGUAUUUGAAAUUUAAAACCAAAUCUGAAAUUGAAUAUAAAAUUAAAAAAAUAAAACAUAAACAAGUAGAAAAAAAAGAAACUAACAGCACCUGUUUGUUUUCCCAGCCGGCCCACACCCGCUAUGGUCAUGCACGACAUGUGCAUGGUGUGUUUUCGUUUUUCUUUCUUUUAUUUAUCUUAUUCUCUUUUCUCUAUUAUUUAUUCCUCCCAUCACGCACAACGUCAUGUAUGCUUUCUCCAAAUCGCUGCUCGCGAUGGCCGCGCGGGAGAUCCUGAAAUCACUUGCGUCGAUCUCGCUCGCCCAACUGAAUCCUCACCAGCCGCCUAGAACCGCGGACUUGACCCCGCGCAUGCCCGGACUCUCCCAGCCUUAUAUAAUCCGACCGCUCUCGAUUAACCGUGCCGUGCGCCAUUGACGAGGAGAGAGAAGCGGGGACCACCAUUGAUGCAUCGUGAGCGCAGGAGAGAGAGAUGCAAGAAGAGAGAAAAUAGAGCUGGGCCACUGCGAGGGAGUCCUGGAUCACCAUCGAUCUGAGUCAAGCACGCGGCCAGAAAGAUCCCCGACGAGAAUAACUGAAUGCGAGGACCUGGGAUUUGUUCAUCAGCGAUUGCUGCUGCUGUGUGUCCGCCCCUCAUCGAGGCCUCCUCUAACCGUCGCUUAAUCACAGGUAAAAAGUCCCUAAAUGCAUUCGCGACACCUUAAUCUUCGUGUUCCCGUCGGUAAUUGGAUCUGCGUGAGCCUGCGUACUAGUUUGGUAUGUCGCCGUGGAGUGCCACGCCGCCGGGUGUGUCGUGCGGGCCACUGCUGCUGGGGGCUGAGAAGGAAGACGAUGGGAGAAACGUCGAUUUCUGGUGGACGGCUCAGAUUGAACGCUGCGUACACCCCUUCGCUGGUUUGAUCUGAGCGGUUGGUUCCGAUCGGACGGACCUGGUGUGAUCACGGUUAUUUAAAAUAUAGGCCGUUGAUCUGGCCAGGGACGGAUACGAUUAGACUGGACGCUUACCUCUUCGUUGGUUGAGUAUGUACUGUUGAUCUAUGAUCUAACGGUUGUGAUGCGCGCGGGGUUAGGCAGCCGAGCCAGCUUUACGUAAGAGCCCUCGAGAUUUAAGGUAAUAAACCCGCCGUCCAUUUUUUUAGUAUAAAGAAAGUAAAAUUAAAUGAAGACUUUGCGUUUUAGCCCAUGGGGUUUGUUUUUAGGCACAAAAUUGAUACAAAUAUGCACAAAAGCUAAGAAAAUCCAUAUCUUGCUCAUGUUAACUCCUUUUUAGUCCGUUCAAGUUGCGUUAGCUUCGUAAUAAAAUUAUCUACACUUUGGUAACCUUAUUUUAUCAUGAAACAUGUUUGUAAAUAAUUAAUUUGUUUACCCUAUGUUCAUUGGAUUAACUUCUUUAUUUAAAAUUAAAGUAAAAUUUCCGCUUCCUAGUUGUAAUUUGACUUAAAUAUGUUUUCUAAUCAAGUUAUAACUUGGGUUAAAAUUAAAUUAAUGGUUUCUUAGGAAUAUAUUUCUCACGUGAUUUAUAAUAAUCAACCUAGAACCUAGUUUUCCUGUUUAAUCACAUAAACCUUCGGAAAAUCAUAACUUUAUAACCGUAGCUCCUAAUUUAGCAAUUCUCGAGCCCGCGAUCUCAUAGCUUCGCGUAGAUUAUUAUUACACAGUUUAUUCUUAUAUUUGGUGUGAUGUUAAUUUUGCCUAUACCAUGUUUGUUUGUAUUGCUACGACUAGCGUGAGGUCACGAGUCACCUGAAGAUCAUCCUGGUACCUGGAAUCUCAAGUCCCAGGCAAGUUGUGCCCUUGAUCACUUCUUUUACCCACUCAUGUUCUAAUUAAUCAUAAUGAUCUGCAUAGGUUAAUUUGAUGGGACCUAAUAGGUUACCCUAGUUUGUCUAUCUUUAUGCCUUGUUUACCACUAAACUUUCUGGGUAGUACUUGCUAGUGCUAUAUGUGGUUUUGGGCAUUGAGAUACAUAUUAUUCAUACUUUUGUUAUCAGUUGCUAUUUACUGUUCAUGAUAAGAUCAUUCUGUUAAUUGGAACAUGGAGAACCACCCGGGAAAACAGUGCUACCACAAGGGUUUAAUGGGACGCCCUUGGCCGAUUAAUUAGGAAAGCUAGUGGAAGACUACCUUACCCGAAAGGGGCAAGGGUAGUAGGGGAGUGGUCAGUGUAGGGAGGCCCUCGGGAGGAUUUUGCUACGAUGGCGGUCCUGCAAGGGAUUCCUGCAUUGGAGCUUCCUAUAAACUGUAGCGGGUUUUCUGAAGCUAGUGGAACUUUGUAAAGGCCUCGUAGUGUUACCCUGCCUCGCCUCCUCGGUAGAGGUGUAUGGGAAGUCGCGAUCCCUUGGCAGAUGGGUAACAUGACUUGUGGGUAAAGAUGCGUAACCUCUGCAGAGUGUAAAACUGGUAUACUAGCCGUGCUCACGGUCAUGAGCAGCUCGGACACUCACAUGAUUAAAUUAUGAAACUUAAACUCAAUUUGUCAUAUGCAUUGCAUCGCAGGUGAGGUUGUUACUUUUGUUCUGCUACUUAAUUGGGUUGGUAUUUACUUAUACUUAGUAAUUGCUAAUAAAAUUUUGACCAACAUUAAAAGCAAUGCUCAGCUUCAACCAUCCUCUUUGGUAAGCCUUACACUUCACGUGAGCUCCCACCUUUGGCGAGUUCAUGCACAUUAUUCCCCACAACUUGUUGAGCUAUGAACGUAUGUGAGCUCACUCUUGCUGUCUCACACCCCCCACAGGUCAAGAACAGGUACCGCAGGAUGAGGCGCAUGGAGGAUGCUGUGAUGAGUUCGUGAGAGAGAUCUAGGCCGUCGUCUCCCAGUCAACUUUGGGUUGCUGGACCGUUGUCUCCUUUUGAUGUAAUUAUUUAUUGAUUUUGUAUAGAACUCUUGUUAUAU